CUGGAAAACCCUGUGAUUCCCCCCUCCCCUGUUGUUUGAUAUUUAUUCGGUGGUUGGAUCUACCGAAUGCAGACCACCCCCUGGCUCAUUAUCUUCAAAGUAACCACAAAGUUAAGUGCUCUCUCUGGGCCAUCUUGUCUACCAAACACAGACAGCAGUACUUGGUCAUCGAAUGUCUGGAACUCUAAGCCGGACACUCUAAAUCGCAAACACCAGUAACAUUGUACCACCAUCUGCUUCUAUUCCCAACAAGCCAGGAGAGCACUAUACAGUGAAAAGGUAUGCACGAACUAGAAGAACACUCGCUACCUAUGAG